rnacentral:lncRNA from 1 species
CGACAGCAGAAAUUCCUGAAUGCAUAAAAAUACGCAGAAGGUGUGAGAGAUCACUACCACUGGUGUUAUUCAGCAUCUUCAUAAACCUACUGUGUUUCCUGGCUACUUCAAGGCACUCUCGUUAAAAAGCAUUUCACCACAGCAACUGCCUG